CUCUAAUUGCAUAACCACUCAAAACUGCUAAAAUUACCAUAUUAUGUUAGUGACUAGCCAAUCAUCUGAGUUAGUAGUUACAUGUUAAACUUUGGGACUUGUUUUGCAGUG